rnacentral:tRNA from 2 species
GCGGGUGUAGCUCAGCUGGUAGAGCGUCAGCUUCCCAAGCUGAAUGUCGCCGGUUCGAAUCCGGUCACCCGCU